rnacentral:rRNA from 1 species
GACGAACGCUGGCGGCGUGCUUAACACAUGCAAGUCGAACGGAAAGGCCCCUUUUGGGGUCCUCGAGUGGCGAACGGGUGAGUAACACGUGCGUAACCUGCCCUUGACUUCGGGAUAACUUCAGGAAACUGGGGCUAAUACCGGAUAGGAAUCCUUGCUGCAUGGUGGGGGUUGGAAAGCUUCGGCGGUUUUGGAUGGACUCGCGGCUUAUCAGCUUGUUGGUGGGGUAGUGGCUUACCAAGGCUUUGACGGGUAGCCGGCCUGAGAGGGCGACCGGCCACAUUGGGACUGAGAUACGGCCCAGACUCCUACGGGAGGCAGCAGUGGGGAAUAUUGCACAAUGGGCGGAAGCCUGAUGCAGCAACGCCGCGUGCGGGAUGACGGCCUUCGGGUUGUAAACCGCUUUCAGCAGGGGCGAAGCUUGUGGUGACGGUACCUGCAGAAGAAGCACCGGCUAACUACGUG